AAUAGGGUACAAUACAAAUUAUAAAUGCAUGUAUAUAUUUUAUUGAUAGAGGCAAAAUACAAAAAAUUACUAUUGCACCGAAAAUUACCUCUAUCGCAUGUAGAUUAAAAGAACCGAAUGUAGUUGCUUUUUGACCGAAAUAGUUAAAAAAUUGUGCUUUUUAUACCUACGUGUAUGUAUGUAUGUACUUUCCAGGUGAGGCCAAACUCACAAGAACGCUAGUACGUCACUGAUGAUAUCUAAGACUGGAAGUAGAUUACAAUUAAUUGAAAAAGAAGACGUUUUUCGACUGAAGAAGACAGGUGCAUCCAAGCCGAGCAGUCGUGCAGGACAGCAUGCUACCCACCUGCUAUGACGCCACCGGUCGCCGGGUUCCUGGAUUGUCCUGCUGACGUAGCUGCUGAAGCGGUCACUCUCCGCCGUAUCCGCUUCCGGGCGGUCUGAAAUAUCCUCCAGUACAGGAAGAGGAUGACGAGUAGUGGCAGGUAGAAGGAGGAGGCCGUGGCAAAGACCUGAUAGCCGAUAUCCUGGCUGACUAGGCAGGUCCUGUUCUGUGUGAUACGCUCCUCCCAUCCUGGAUCCUUCCACCCCAGCAGCGGCGCUAUACACACGAGGAACGAGACCGACCAGAUGAUAAGGAUCAUGAACCCUAUCCUCCGUGCCGUCCUCUGGUGGAUAUAGUCGAUGUUCGUCACUGCCCAGUACCUACCGAGGGGACAUGUAUUUUUAUCCAUUGACUAAUAUAUUUAAGAUACGAUUCAGUACAAAUUAUCGUUUAUUUAUUGUAUCACUAAAGAUCAUAUUUUUCACAAGAAUUGUUUAAGUAAUGCAUCUGAAUUAUAAAGGAAUUUGAAAAAUGA